CGGAAUGUAGCGCAGCCUGGUAGCGCACCUGCUUCGGGAGCAGGGGGUCGGAGGUUCGAAUCCUCUCAUUCCGACCA
rnacentral:tRNA from 17 species